ACACUGCUGACGAGUCCCAUAAUAGGACGAAACGGCCGUCCAGUGU
rnacentral:hammerhead_ribozyme from 1 species